rnacentral:misc_RNA from 1 species
CAACAUGGAGCUCCAUAAUCGUUUGGCCAAUGAAGCCGCUAAUUACGAUGGCAAACAUUACGGUGGCGGUAUACCUCAGGUUGCGAGUGCCAGCAUUGGUUUAGGCCCAUAUGGUGGUUUUCAAUCUGGUCAAAUUAGUCCCAUUCCAGUCUACUCAAUAUAGUAUUAUUACUGGCGAUCUAUCCGUCAUAGGCUUCUCCAGGAAUAGAAUCCAGAUUUGCUGACGAUCUUCCUCCGCCAUCGGGUAACAGCUACGGAGUAUUCUCUAGUUCGAGCUCCUCCAGCAUGACCGGUCCGGAUGGCAGGCCGAUUAACCAUAAGUCUUCCAUUACAGGCGUUAACGAUAAUGGAAAAAUUUCUUAUCGCACUCUAUAUGAUUAAUUAAAUUACGCUCUUAAUUGUUUAUAAUCAUUAAUUUACUAUCAUGUACUGUAUAGAACGUACCAUAAUGAUGAUGAAGUUUUAUAAUUUAAAAUUGUUGAUGUUACAAAGUAAGAUUGUAGCAUAAAAUUCUCAAAACUCAGGCUCAAAUAUUUCCUUAAGAUUAUCACACAAAUACUCAAGUUUCUCUUAGAACUAACUAUUUGUUUCUUAAAAGUUAUAACUUUUAUACACGAUAUACACAUUUAAAAAUCUUGACAAAAUCUUUAUGAGUGUUAUGUUUUACUCGAAUAAUAUAGAGUAAAUACAAUUUUAUAUUUUUGACGACUAUUCUGCAUUUAAUUAUUACAUUUAUAUACUUAAAUAUAUAUUCAUAUUAUUGUAUCUACUGUGCAUAAAUUAAACUCUUGACGCUUUUAAGUUGAUUU